rnacentral:rRNA from 1 species
GACGUAGGGCGCGAGCGUUGUCCGGAUUUAUUGGGCGUAAAGAGCUCGUAGGCGGCUUGUCGCGUCGACCGUGAAAACUUGGGGCUUAACCCCAAGCCUGCGGUCGAUACGGGCAGGCUCGAGUUCGGUAGGGGAGACUGGAAUUCCUGGUGUAGCGGUGAAAUGCGCAGAUAUCAGGAGGAACACCGAUGGCGAAGGCAGGUCUCUGGGCCGAUACUGACGCUGAGGAGCGAAAGCGUGGGGAGCGAACAGG